rnacentral:rRNA from 1 species
ACGAACGCUGGCGGCAUGCCUAACACAUGCAAGUCGAACGAGACCUUCGGGUCUAGUGGCGCACGGGUGCGUAACGCGUGGGAAUCUGCCCUUGGGUGCGGAAUAACAGUUAGAAAUGACUGCUAAUACCGCAUAAUGACUCCGGUCCAAAGAUUUAUCGCCCAGGGAUGAGCCCGCGUCGGAUUAGCUAGUUGGUGAGGUAAAAGCUCACCAAGGCGACGAUCCGUAGCUGGUCUGAGAGGAUGAUCAGCCACACUGGGACUGAGACACGGCCCAGACUCCUACGGGAGGCAGCAGUGGGGAAUAUUGGACAAUGGGCGAAAGCCUGAUCCAGCAAUGCCGCGUGAGUGAUGAAGGCCUUAGGGUUGUAAAGCUCUUUUACCCGGGAUGAUAAUGACAGUACCGGGAGAAUAAGCCCCGGCUAACUCCGU